UGCAGAGCUCGGCUUUCGUACGGCCUCCGCCGCUUUGCACCCGUUUUUUUUCCUUACAAAAUUAUGGGGUACUUACCGAAGUGGAGGAGGAGCGAUUUGGAUGAGGCUGAAAAUGAGGACAGGCGUCUAAAUUAAGCAAAGAGCGCUGGUGAUUCAUAAAUGAGAAAUGUAGGGAGGAAAAGGAAAGACAAACCAAGCUAGAGGUAGGCGGUGUAGUCCCCAGGGUAGCACCUCUGCGCACCCCCCCGUCACACUGGUCAUGCAGCGCUGCUUGUUUAAUUAAAAAAAAUUCUAUAUAUUUCCUGAAGUUGCUGUUAAACAAGAUGUUAUUAGCUAUUAGUGCCGUAUCCUGCCCAGAAUAUUACUGCUGAAUUGCUAGCGUUUUAUAUUCUUUUAUCUUUUUUAACUCAUCAGAAGCAGCUUCUGGUUAUAAUGUGAGCCAAACAAAUCUGCUUGGGGAUUUUUGUUUUGUUUUUAAAGAACAAACAACUAUUGGGUUGUUAGAAUGAAAGAAGGGGCUAACAGAAUGGCUUGUAUGUACACAUAAAUAUCUGCAAUCAAAUGAUAAAGAAACUCAAGCAAAUGUGGCUGUUCCUGCUGAGCCUGUAGCCAUCAGCUUCAAAACUCGAAUGUUGUGCACAAAUUGGCACCUGGACAAAGCACUUUGCCUUCCUUGUUAAGCAGUGUGGAGAUCUCAGAGCAGAUGAAGGUAGCAUAGGGACCCAGAAGACCACAGUGAGACAAGCUGUUUGAAAAACUGAAUCUCAAAAAUUAGGAGAGGACAGACAUGGAAACAUUUAAGGAAACCAUGGCAACAAAUGGCUCAGUAGCUCUGUACAGUUGAAACCUCUUUGUGGAAAGGAACCUCAAGGAAAAUUCUGUUGGAUCCCACUGGAGUGAUACUGGAGAGGACCAUUCUCGCUACCAAGGAUUCUUAACCAUUACUCUGUAUCAAGGAAGUGAUCCUACUGUCCACCAGCAUCUUCAGCCAGAUAAUCUAUGCUAAAGCCAAGCUCCAUCCUGAUUUGUGUGAGCCAGAUGAAUGGUGUUCGUCAGUCAUCUGCAGUGGCAUCCACUCUAGCACACACAUGGAGUAAUCAUAUACCCGAUGGUGAUGCUAUGAGAGGCUGCAGCCAGCCUGGAUACUCACCCAUACCACCGUAAGUUUUGAAGGGUUUUCAGGAACUUUCUGUACGACAGUGGAGACCCUCAGGGUGCGUCACCCAUCCCAGUGAAUGUAAACCCUGGAAUGACCCUGCUGUCCUAUGCACCUACAAGGCUGUGAGAUUCCCAGGAGUGCCUGUUACAGCUGGGUAACUUCCUGCUCUCCCAGUGCUUUACCCCAGCUGCCUCUGUACUGCCUAACCGAUGGGUAGGAACUGAAAAGGAGCAAAGAAAUAGGUGUUCAUCAGUCGCAAUUGUGCCACCAGAGGCUGAUAACUAUUGUCACAAAUGCUGUGUGUAGGUCAGAAACACGGCCUGAAACCACAGAAAAUGCAGGUGAAAUGACUGAAAACUUGGGAAGAAGAAAACAAGCUUAAACAAGCUAAAGGCUGCAAAACCACAGGGAAAAGAAAACAUUACUUCUUGACACUGGAUUCUAAUCUGAAUAAAAACAGAGUUCAAGGCUUGCUACAAAGGAUCAAAGAGAUCAGAUGACUAACUGGCAAAGAAUGAAAAUGAGGAUUAGAAGUGGCAGACGGGAACCUGAACUGGAAAGCAAACCAAAGCUUUCUGCAGCUGAAGAGGCUUGGCAAAAAGGAUCAACCCAUCAUGGAGAGCGAAAGCUUCAGGCACAAUGAAGAUGAAAUAAUGCUUGCAAAAUCCCAGGUUGUGAUAAAGGAGGCUGUUGCCUAAAACCAUACCUAAAGUGCCUGUGUCUGCUACUUGGCUCUUUUGUGGGGUACUUUUGAUGAAUUAUGGUUUGGUUAGUAUACAGCACUGAAAUUCAGAUUAUGAACUAAACAAUAUGCUUUCCUGGAAUUUAAAAUAUUUAAAACAUGCAUAUGUUAGAAGCAAUUCCAUCUGUUACAGGUACAGUAUCUCCAGGGGCUGGUGGUGUUUGAGGGGAUGGAAAUUGGGCAGCAAGACUAAGUGGGUCUAAUGCACACCUUCAUGAAUAGGGUAUGUGCCCCUCUCUUGUCACAGUCAAUAUAAUCCAGGAGUGUGGUGGAACUGAACUCUUGUCAGCUCUGUUAAUUCAGUUCCUCAUUAACCAGUUGGUACAGCUAAAUCAGUACUCGCCCUUUACCAGAAAAGCUGCUAAUGUGUUUGUCUUCACAGAGUUGUGUACAUAUCCGAUGAAGCUGGUCAGGGAGGGGCCUGUCUUUUAGCUGCUGACUGCUCAGCUGCUCCUACCCAAAUUGUCAUGCUGACCACAGCUAACGUAUUUAUCUCAGGACUUGAAUAGACCACCAUAGAUUCAGUGGAGAGCUUCCCUGCUUCUUAUGCCUUAAUAGGCAUAAAGUCCAGGGGACCACCAAAAUGUUUGCAAGAUGUUUGAAUUGUGGCUUUCUUCAGCUUUGAGCUUUCCCUUCUGGCUGUGGAGCCUACCAGGCCUAUCUCCAGGUUGCUGAGUUUUGGCAGCUCUCUGGUGUGCUGUGACCUGCAGCACUGCUAGGGCUCUUUGGGAGCAAUUUUGCAAGUGCUAGUGGCUGCUUUGUAUUUCUGCUGUCAUAUCCCCAUGCUUUCUGGGAUCUCGUAGGAAGCUGCCACUGUUAGCUGGGGUCAAAAAUAAGCCAUUACCAGGGACAGCAAGGAGGAAACUCAGAGAUCCCAGCACAAGCUGGGAAUCAUGGAACUCAGAGUAACAUUGUGAGAGCGCUUGGGGGCAUCUCUAGCUGCACAGAAGAUUUCAGUAGUAGCUGGACCUGCAGAUACCUGUUUCCCUGCAGAAAUAGCUAAGUCCUGCUGUUUAUUCUCAAGAUACCAUUGUCGUGAUCAGAAGUCAUAACAAAUAGCCCAUUACAGAGACGAACAGGAGUUUGGUCUUCUCUGGUGGCUCAGGCAUAUCUUUGACCCUUUCUGCAGGAUUUUAUAACAUUUCUGGUCCCAGCUGUGGUUACCUUGCACAGGUAUUGUUCUUCCCUGCUUCCUUCUGCAUUUGUCAUGCUGCGGUGGGGAGAGGUGAGCUGCUGUUGAUGGGGCAGCUUUCUGAGGCAUGUUGCAGAUAAGUAAUUCAGAACAACGUCUCUAAAUUGUCCUGACGACUGAAUUAGCUCCUUGCUUUUUACUGUGUGAGAGAUGUGGAUGGAUAACAAAGGUGACAGAAAAUUACCUUUUUCUUAUCCCUCGAGCUGGUCCUGAGUACAGCUUGGCUGUAACUGUGCAAUAAAACUGGCGUUGGGAUUGAUUGCAAGUUAUUACAUGAUCUUUCUGUAAAAAGAUUUCUGAGGUGAGCCAGGUGUUUCAGCAGGAAGGGACAGAAGAGAAAAAAGAGGUACUGUUUCCUGGAGGUUCUUUUUUACAUUUAAAAUAUCUCUAAAUAUAGUUGCAGAGGCUGGUCCAUUAAUUCUGCAGUCAGGUGCAAAUAUAAGCCAGUGUGAAUAACAGAGUGAGUGGAAAUGAAUAUUCUUUACAAGGCUGGUUGAAAAUUAUUGCGUGAAACCAUUCUUCAAUGUCAGACAAGGUAGUUGAUGAUAAAAACGAUAAUUUUUUUUUCCUUUUCAUGAUAUGUGCUUUCCUUAAAAAUAUUGAGAUUUCUUGUCAAAACCCAAAUCAGGGAUUUGCCUUUUUGGUGACUGAAGUUGUUGAGGCUGGAGUUGAACAAAACUUCAAAAUAACUACAGAAUUGUAGUUUUGGUUGUACCAGAAUCUUAGCUUUCUACUAAAAUUAUGCAUCCAGGCAUUCCCACCUGGAAGUUGUGGCUUUUUUGUCUGAUUUUCUCACUGAGCUGGGCUCCCUGGCUGAGUUUUGUAGAGCACACGUUAUCAAGGCUGUAAGUGAUGAACGUUUCACUGGAAGGGAAACCACCUUGUACUGAGCCCAGGAAGCCUUGUCCCCAGUGGUGAUUUGCAACACAAGUCACAAUAGCAACAUUUCCAAAUCUGACAUUUCUGUAUUUGGCCAAAAGUAUUAAAUAAAAUUUAAUUUACUCUUCCAUUGAAAUUGAAAAAUGCUCCAGGGAAAGUGCAGUUACACAAGUUGCUGUUUUUCAUCCCAAUAUUCCAGUGGUUCUUCCCCCUCCCCAUCGUUAUCAAGGAAUUCUGUAUCCCUUGCAGCUAAAGCAUCUGUCCUCUUCCAUUGAAAAGCAGAGAAAUCUAUGGAAAUGCUGCCAAAUUGUUGUGGUGUGCUCUGCUCUGGCUGCACGCUGCUGCUGCAGUGUGCUGAUUACGUGGGAGCUGCAGGACCAGCAAGUCCUCCUGGGUCAGUGAGAUGCUGCAGCUGGGAAUAGCAGUGCAAGGUUCCACAACCUGAGAGCAGCUCUCUGGUAGCACAGUUAAAAAAUGACAUAGAACUGUAGAGAAAUUUUGGAGAUUUGAGCUUAUAUUAUUGUAUUACUCCAUUACCGAACUUGCGAGGUGCCUCUUUUUCCUUACCAUUUGUUACCGCCUGUUUUUGAGGCUUGCCGGUCCUGCUCUUUGUGCCAAGCACCACCCCAACUUUAUGGCAGGAUAAGUUCCUCCUCGAAUCUGGGAACCUCCUUUUAUGAGAGCACCUUUUUGUCUUCCUCCAAACAUCAAUGCAAGGGCACUCACUUCUGCUUAAAUCAUCUUUGGCCAUCUCAUCCCUCAAUAUUUUUCAGUGAUUUCUUGGGUCCUUGACUUGACCUCUUGGGUUUUAUUUGAUUUUGGUUUGUGUAUGUACACGCUGUAUUACCCCAGAUAAAGUAUAUGUAGUAUGGCAAGGGCUAAACUUCCAGUUUAUGUUGUGACACAUGGAAAGAAUAUCUGUGCUUUGCAGAAUGUCUGAUUAUGUUCAGAUGGUUCGGUUGACUUAUAAACUAAAUAGUGACAGGGUCAUGCAAAAGGGGAAGGAUAAGGAAGAGUGUUUGUGAGUAAACAGAGCCAUACAGGUUUACAUGUUUCAUGAUUUGAAUAGUGCGGUCCGACAGCACUGGUUUUUAGUUUGGGGGUUUUUUUGGAGGGGGGCGGUUCUGACAGUGACUUACCGUGUGCCCUUGGGUAAGUCACUUUCUGAAUUUCUUUCCCUUUCUACUUUGCAUUUUCUAUUUGGAUUGCAGACUCACCAGGGGACUGGAGCUUCUCCCCUGGCGUAUUUGUACAGCACUGAACUCAGAAGAACUGUGCUCUUAAUUAGAGUGUUCAAAUAUGGAUGUAAUACAAAUAAUAAUAAUUAAUUAGGCAUUUAAUUAUCAUCAGUAUUUACAUAACAUUGCCAGCAUUUCAUGUGAAUGUUUUAUCCAAAUAUUUUGUGGGAGUUUUCCCAUGUUACUCCUAUCACAGUGGUGCUACACAUCU